GAUUUUACUGAUAUUUGACUGACUUUAAGGGUGGGUGGGUAUUAAUUAAAAAGGUUUGCUUUUUUGGUAGUAUGAUUUUAACAGAUGGAUUGAAAUGUGUGAGAUGACUUAAGUGUUGUGCCUUGAUCUAGGUUGAAAUUGUGUAGAUCCUGUGAUAAAAUGUGACUGCUAAAAAACAAAAGUAGAUAUUGAAAUCUGUAGUGCCACUAUAGAAGCUUAUUGAAACGAGCCUACAUUACAUAUAAAGGUAUGAAAUGGUGUUGUUUGCAUGCUAUUAAAAUAUUUUUUUAUGGAAAAGAAAUGAAAAAUGAAAAAAAAAAACUGAAUUGGAACUUUGUAGGGUGGGUAGGGAAUACUAUGAAAUAUGAAUGUUCAAUGUGUUGGUAAUUUUUUGUGUGUGAUAUAAAUAAAAUUUUGACAAGAUAUAUAUGUAAAUAUCUUUUUAAUUGGAAGAAGAAAGAUAAAAAAAAAACUUAAAAAAACCUAAGGGGGGUGGGGUGAUUAUUAUCAGUCUUAAAUGUUCACAGUUAGCACCAUAAAAGACCAGCGAAAAGAAAAUCAUCAUUGUCCCUCCAACAGUAAAAGCAAAGAUGGUCAAACUAUAUUUAGCCUAUCUAGUUAGUUACUGAUGGUGUUUGUCAAGCUUUCACUCCUGGGAGCAAGUAAGCAUUUUACUUUCAUAGUUGCAGAAGACACUUGCAGUUUCAUGUAUUGAUAUUAAAACAAUUAUUAUAUUAGUUGAAGAUAACAAUGUUUCAAUUGAAUGAGAAUAAUGCAAAAUAAAAAGCUAUAACUGUGAUAGUGAAAGUUUAUACUUCAAGAUCAUAUUUAUAUUCCCAUUUGUCUUGUAAAAGAUUUUUCCUGAGAUUUUAAAAACUUUCAUCUAUAUACUUUAUAGCCAUACCAUAUGAAAAUUGAAAAAGGUAGAAAACAGUAGAUGUUGUAUGUAAAAAUUUGGAGGGGUGGGGUUGUAAUUUAAAUCAUUAGUAUUCCACAGUGUGAAGCAGUUGAAAAAGCAUCAAUGGUCCAUAAAGUUCCAGACAAUAUAAAAUUGAUAUAGGUGGUCUAAGUUUUUACUGAUCAAGUACAGUGGCAAGUACACAAAUUUUAUUACUCUCAUGAAAUUGAAAAGUUUUCCUUUUGUUUAUAGGAAUAUUGUUGUUGUAUCAUUGUAUUUGUUUUUAUUUUUCACUGUAACAAUUGUAUUUAUUCAGUAAAGAAAAGAUUUUGUAUUCUAUUUCUAUUUAUACCUAUCUUUGCUUUGUAGAAGGUUUUUUUAACCAACACUAAAUCAUUAUGCAAAAUCGGGAGGGUGGGAGAGUACAAAUUUCUUUCUUUUAUAGUCUAGACCAUAUUGGUUAAUGCUUGUGUUAUCUAAUGAGGUAUGGCAGUGUAGCUUUGUUGGUGUGUAACAUAUUCCAAUAUUUGACCAGUGCAUGCAUCACAUUACUUGUAUUAUUUAAUUUUGUAACUGCAUACAAUUAGCAAAACACAUGCUCCCACUUUAAUAAUAAGUGUCACCAGUUUAGUUUAAUUCUUGGAUAUUGGUUCUUUUUAAUCAUGUUGACCUUUGUUUUUUACAUACUAACCAUUUUCAUAAUCUGAUUAUUCCUUAUCAGUUAGUCUAGAAGUGUAGCUCUCAACUUGUAUGAUUUGUAUUGUCACUUUCUGAUGGCUGAAGUUAUUUCUAUUCAUAAGGUCUUUCCUUAUGUAUUAUAACAGGUUGGCUGCUUUUGAAUUUGUUUUCAAUAUUUUUAAUCAUUUAUCCACAGCUCUUGCUUUUUGUACCUAAAUAGUAGGCAAGUGAAGGUAUGCAUUAAUUUUUCCCAUUAUUUAUAUUGUGUAUGUUUGUUGAUGUUUAAAUUGAUUUACAUAAUUUUUUUUCAAAGUAUUGUAAAUAUCAGCAAUAAGUGGAUUUUUUUAAAAGGUUUUAAGAGUUGAGAAUAAUAAAUAAAAGUGGUGUGAAAAUUUUAAAGGGGGGGUGUAUAAUAAUUCUUAUUCACAGUAUUGACCGUUCAAGACCAGUGAAAAGUGAAGCAAUAUUGUCCCUCCAUGAAAAAAAAAUGUUGCCAAAACUGAAACCUGCCUGUCUAUUAGACUUUUGAUGCUGUUUGUCAAGCUUUUGCUUUGGGAGGCAGGUAAACAUUGAUUUGUUUUUGUCAUGCUUAAAAAAUUAGAUAAAAAGAACAAUUAUUUUACUACUAUAAAAAUGUUAAUGUCUAAAACAUAUUACAUAUGAGCAUAAAUGAUAACAUAACAGUAAUAGUGAUCAUUCUAUUUAUUUUAUUAUUCUGCUAGUCUUUUGAAAGAUCUUAUCUCAGAUUUAAAGGUAAAUAGAUUAAGACAUAUCAUAUUGAUGUUUGAAAAGAGGUAGAAAAACGUACUUGUAUAUGAAAUUAUGGGGGAUGGGGACUGUUAAUAAUCAUUAGUUUUCCAGUGUGCAUCAUCAUCAGAAGCAAGGUCCAUCUUAAAGCUCCAGACAAUAAAUAAGAUUGUAAUGAGCAUGUCGCAUAUAAAGCUAUUUCUGAGGAGCUUCAAGUACGGUGGCAAGUACACAUAUAUUUAUCAGUUGCAUACUUACCAAUAUAACAGAUCCAAUUUUAUUGCACAAUACUAAUUAAAUGAUUCCUUCUAUUAGUUUGAAUAUUUAUAAUGAAUACAGGCAUUUUACAUAAGAAAAUGUUGCAAUUAUAUUGUAAUGCAAGGAUUUUAUAUUCAUAUUUUUUAUUGCGAAUUUAUUUUCACUACAAUUGUAAUGAUGUUGGGUGGUUGGGGUUUUUGACUAACAUUGAUUUGUUUAUCUCAAAAGCACAGAUUGGAUUGAAAAUCCUGUAGUAUCAUGUCAGUAUGAAGAAAGUGGAAAAGUUGGUUGAACAUAAGUGGUAAAUUGUUAUCUGUAGUAGUCAUUUAAAUUGUAAACACUUCAGAAUUUACAUUUUAUUUUGACCUACUUUGGUCACUUUGCAGUGAAAAUCAUAGAAAGAUAUGCAACAAUUAUAAUUAUCUGAUGAGGAAUGACUAGUUUUGUUCUUUUAGAUGUGUUAAAAAUUCCUCGCUAUCUCAUCACUUUUGUUUUAUUAAUCUUGGCUUUGUAGAAAGUUUUUAAACAUGCUGUAAAUCAUGAUACAGGAAGGGGGAGAGGGAGUUCACAUUUCUUUCUUUUGCAGUAUAGCCUUUAUUGGUUAACCCUUGUGGUAUCUAAUGAGGUAUGGCAGUGAAGCUUUGUUCUUAUUAUUGUGUUACAUAUUCCAGUAUUUUACCAAUGCAUGCAUCACAUAAUUUUAUUUUUGUAACUGCAUACAAUUAGCAAAUCACAUGCUCCCACUUUAAUAAGUGUCACCAGUUUAAUUACAUUCUUGGAUAAUGGUUCUAUUUAGUCAUGAUUUUUUACUAACCAAAUUCAUAAUCUGAAUAUUCCUAGAUAAUCUGCUAGUGAAGCUUUUUUUACCUACAUGAUCUUGUGUUUGAGUGUGCAAAUUGCCAUUAUAAAUAUGGAAUAAUGGGGUGGGGGAGUUCACAUUUUUUUCUUUUGUAGUAUACUUGACCUCUAUGGUCAUACUGGACCGCUAUGGUCAAUGUACACAGUUAUCUGGUGAGGAGUGAUGGUGAAGCUUUGUUCUUGUUGGUGUGUUAGAUAUUCCAGCUAUUUACCAGUGCAUGUAUGGCGUAACUUUUAAUUUGUACUUGCAUACACUAAGUAAAACAUAUGCUCCCACUUUCAUACUAGCUAUCACAACUUCUUGGAUAAUGGUUAUAUUUAUUCAUGUUGAUCUUUGUUAUAUUUAUUUACUAACAACUUCCGUGAUCUGAAUUAUCCUAGCUAGUGUAGCUUUUAACUUUUUGUUGACAAUGUUGAGAUUUUGUUGUCUUACUAUUAGUUAUACUUGAUAUUGUUUUCCAUUUUGAUGUUUUUUCAUCCUUGUAUUUAAAACACAGGAACUGCGCUUGGAUUGCAAUCGGUUGUAUUGUUUGAUUUUUUUCUAUAGCACUAGCUUCAAGUUUCUACAAGAUAUAUAAGCCAAUUUUAGAUUAUGCAUUUUCUAGUUGUAAUAUUUAAAAACCUAUAUCUAUUUUAUUCUAUUUAUAACUUUUUAGGGAUUUUUUUUUAAUAAUCCCAUAAAUAACAUUAGGUUUGCAGAGAGUUUUUAUUUAGGUCGCUGUAUCUGUGUGCCAUGUUUAUGAAAAUGGACCAGCCAAUGAUGUAAGAAAAUACUUUUGGGAGAAUAAAAGGAGGUGAUUUUGGGAGCCUGACCUGGAAGUAAUGUUUUUUUUUAACAUAUUUGUUUAUAUUAUAUCAAUAGAAGAAAUUUUUCAACAAAAAGUUCAAUGGGCUUGAAAUUUCUUUUAUCUAAGAUUAACUAUUGAUUCAUAAGUUAAAUCUUUAUAUGCCAAGAUUAUGAAGAUAUAUAGAAAUUGAAGAAAAUGUAAUUAAAGGGAUGGGGCGAUGAUAAUAAUUUUUAUUGUUCAGUGUAAACCAUAUAAGUCCAGUGAAUAGAAUAGCUACAAAGUCCUCUGUAUAAACCUUGGAAGGUAAACAUGAAAUAUGCCUGUCUAGUUAGAUAUUGAUGCUGUUCCGCGAAAGGCAAGUAGACAUUAAGUUGUUACUUUCAUACUUUGAAGUAUCUUGCAACGUUUUUUGUUUUUUUGUAACAAUUAUGUAGGAGUUGUAAAUGACUGUUUCCUUUGAAUGAGAAAACUGCAAAGUUGCAUUUAAAUGUAUAUAAUGGAUUAGCAAUUACUUAAUAUUAAGAGGUUGAAAAAUACAAUUUAUAUUAUGUAUAAUAGAGGGGGGUAGGGGAAUGAUGAUAAUCAUUAGUAUUCCACAGUGUACACCAUUAUAAAAGGCGGCGAGUGUCCAUCAUAAAGUUCCCGGCUAUAUAAAAUUGAAACUGGCAUGUCUAGUAAGCUGUUGACUCUUAGCUUUCAAGUAGAGUGGCAAGUACACAUUAAUAUAUUACUUUCGCUACUUUCAUGCAAAUGAAAUGUUUUAUCCUUACUGGAUUUUUUUUUGAUUUUUUUCAUUCUUUGUAUUAAAGAUUGUUACUGUAGAACAAUUCUAAUGUAAAAUUGUAAUGCAAUGUUUUUUUUUAGUAGUGUUAUUUUUGAGAUUAUAUCUUUUUAUACUAGUAGUUUACUGAUGUGGGUGGGUGGGGUGAAUUAUAUGUUCCCACUUUAUUUGCCAGAAAGAAGUAAAAGUUGAGCUGAGAUCAAUUGAAGAAAAUGGUAUGAAUUGUCAGAUUUAUUUCUGUCUUGUUAGUUUUGCAUUUUUAGUUUUAAACAUUUUGAUGUACAUUUGUAAAAAAGGAAGCAGAGUUCUUUAUUAGAUAAAAUCAAGAAAAUUUAUUUGUCAAGAUUACAGGUGAAAGUGGCACAUAAACUAACUAUAAAAUAAGAAAUUAUUUGUUGAUAUUUCAUCAAAAUGGGUAGGGUGGGGAUUUGACUAAUAUUGAAAUUUUUUCUCAGAAAGAAGCAUGAAAUGGAUUUAAAAUCUGAAGUGUAGACAACGGUAAAAUUAUUAAAUGAUGUGAGCGUUUUUAAACCUCAAAGGGUUCAAUAAACAAUAAUAUAAUUUGUAUACACUUAGGAAAGAAGAUUUAGAUUUUUAUUUUGACCUAUUUGUUAAUCUUGCAAUGGAAAUGACAAUGUUUUGCAGUAAAUGAUGUUUUUCACUUUGGAAUAAGGGGGUGGGUAGUUCACAUUUAUUUCUUUUGUAGAACAUUUAUAUCUGGUGAGGAAUGAUGGUGUAGCUUUGUUCUUGUUGGUGUGUUACAUAUUCCAGUAUUUUACCAGCAUGCAUCACUUUAAUUGAUUUUGUACUUGUAUACACUUUAGCUAAAAAAUAUGCUCUGUGACUGUCUUUCACAGAUGUCACCAGAUUAGUUAAUUCUUGGAUAAUGGUUCUUUUAAUUGUGUUGAUCUGUUUUAUAUUAUACUAACCAAUUUCAUAUUCCUAGAUUAUCAGCUAGUGCAGCAUUGAACUUUAUGGAUAUAUAAUAUAUGUGUAGUGUCACGUUCUAAAUGCUGAAGUUGCUUUUUAUUUUGAGGUCUUUAAUCCUUAUUUAUGAUACCAGGUCCGCUGCUUUUAUUUUGCAUACUCGGCAUUAAUGAUUUAUACCCAGCACAUUUAUGUAUAGAUAUUUGGUUUGUCACAAUCUAAGCUUUUUAAUUUGAGGUCUUUAUUGAUAAUCAUUCUGUAUUAUAACAGGUCAGCUGCUUUUGAUUUGUGUAUAUGUCGUCAUUAAUGGUUUAUCCAUAGCACUUUGUUUAUAUACAUAUGCAAGUUGGGUAGCAGAAAUUUUUAUUUCAGCAAGCAUGAAUCCGUGAUGGAGAAGGUAGAAGUAAAUAUAUGACCAAGGAAGGCAAAUAAGAUAACUAUGCAAGGGUCCUGAUCUUUGGCUUACUAAAAUUGGCAUGCAAGGAAGUGAGACAACACUGCCAGCUGGUCAGAGCAGAGGAUAAACCUACCUCCCUCUCUCUCAGUUUGGCUUGAAAGGAGAGAGUAAGGGUUGGGUAGCCGGCUCGCAGCAAUAACCUGUGCACAUUAGACUUCCAAAAUAUAAAUGUCUUUUAGCAAAUUUGUUAGAAUUAAUUGAUCUUUCAACUAUUGUUCAGUGUUCAACUUAAAUAAUGCUCAUUAUGGAUAAUUUGGUAACAAACUAAACAUUAUAUUUAAAAAAAAAAUGCUUCCAAAAUAUAAAAGAACGUUCUCAAAAUGUUGUAUUCAGUAACUUUAUUUAGCAACAUCAAUAAUGGUAAUUUUAAACCACUUUAAUAAGCUAAAAAUCUAUAUAAAAAGACUAGAUAAAAAAGGAAAAAGAUUUUGAAGAAAUGGAAUGAUUUAAAUAUUGUUAAUUGUGCAGAGUACUAGUAAAAAAGAAUUGUAAAUAUUAUUAAAUUAUUGAAUAAAAUUUAUCAUAAAACAUAAUUGAGUUUGUUGUUACUUGUUUUUUUUAAAGCAUACAGUGUACAAGAAUUAGAGUUGGUCCAAUUCAGUGGUGAAGAUGCAUUUCAAAGAUUUGGAAUGUUCACCAAUGACAAUUCUCCUUCCAUGUUUAUAUUUAAGAAUUAUAGGUCAAUCUACUUCUCAACAAUGAGCAAAUGGCAAAGUUGGCUGCAAAAUACCCUGAAAUGUCACAUAAAACAAUUCAACUGAAAAAACUGGGCAGGCUUUAUAUACAAAUUAGUAACAAAUACAUUAAUACUUCAACAAACAACCAACGAAUUAUAGGUUCAUUGGACAGGCACAUGGAGAAUAUUUCGGGGUUUAUUGGCGUCGUAUUUUGCAAGGCUACAUAAUUGAGAUUAAUGCACUUCAAUGAUGAAAAUAUGUAAUACAAGUAUUUUAAAAAAGGCCAUCAUGAUCACAAAGAAAAACACUGAAAAUAUCAACAGUGUAAAACUUAAAACAGCUACUUAUAUAUUUAGUAAGCUCACCAAAAAUUCCGAAUAGAUCUUGAAUGCUCCAGACUGGUUAAUCUGACUCGUUGAUAAUAAUGUUAUGUUCGGGAGGUUGUGUCCCUCAUUGAGUUUAUGUGGUGUCAAUCACAUCGUGCGGUUCUUCAGUGUCGAAAUAGCAUUGCAGCAGCUCAAGAUCGUAUUGUAAUGCAAUAGCCGAUCUAAAUAUGACUUUAAAAUCAGUAUUCACUGUAAGAGCAGUUGACUUGUAAUGGUCUGCUAAGAGGUCUACAAAUGAUUUUAGUUGUGCAUACUACAUACAUAGACAACUAUUUAUUUUAAGAAAUAGGGUAAGACUCCGAUAUCCACACGAGACCUGUGUCCAUUGAAUAAUCUUAAUACCUAUAGACAUGAAUUAAGCACAGUUUGAAUGUAAACUUCAAAGAAGUUUUUGUUAGUACAAUCUAUACAAUACAAAAUUUAAAAAAAAAAAGAUGGCAAAGCAACUCCUGUCAGCUUGAAAAGAAAAAUAUAUUUACAGAAAAAGUUAAAUCUAGUAAUAAAAUAAGACAAAAUUAAAUGCAUGAUUAGAGUGAACGGAUGAGAAAUAUUUCCAUUAUAUAUUGUCGAAUUGGGUGAGCAAUCCAAAAUAGACACCAACAAAGUUUUGUUGUUUAUAAUAUGUAUUAAAUACCUUAUAGUAAAACAUAAAUACAACAACGGUAUACAAAUGGAGAAAAAAACAAACUCAUUAAACCGUGUUGCAUCAGAAUUGCCUCGGCACCCACCUGCAUCGGGAACAUCCAAAAUGAAUAAAGCUAGAAGCACACAUACCGAGCCUAAUACAUGGACCCUGGUUCAUUAAUUGUUCGCAAGGACACAAUUUACGAAAGCGUUGCAUAGCUGAAACAAACAUUUUGAACAAUUCCAAGACAGUUAAUUUUUAACUGAGAAAAACUUCGGGAGAAUUUCUUCAUUAUCUCCAUUUCAUCUGGACUGAUGGAAUAAAAAGGGUACAUUUUAAAAAUAUACAGACGAAAUACUAGGAUGACAGAUUUUGAAAUUAUAUAUAGCAAUGUCAACUCGAGUAGAUGAUGGUCAAUAGAUUGUGUUCAGCACCAAAUUCAGAACUGUCUUGGUCGUGGUGGUCUGUUUUUAGACGACUGCAAAUUAUUUACCGUAUAAUAGUAUGACAUCGUUGUUGUGUUACGAAGAUAGUUGGACUCUUGACAACAACUUGAGUAUAAGUGACAGUGUAUUGAUCUCUAUGAACCACAACAGGAAGGUUGGGAUUGACUUUUGGGGUUAUUUGCCUAACUGUUGAGGAAAUAAGGACUAAAACAGCCAUUUCAGGACAAUGUUUGGUGUAUGCUUUGUACCACAUCAAAAGGAAGGUUGGGAUUUGAUUUUGGGGUUGUGGCCCAAACCGAUCAGAUAUAAGCGCAAAAAAAAAGACAAAAUGUAGAAUUUUAUGUUUCCAGACAAAAACUUCAGUAUAAG
rnacentral:lncRNA from 1 species